GCAGUCGCCACGGUAAUACGAAGGGUGCAAGCGUUACUCGGAAUUACUGGGCGUAAAGCGUGCGUAGGUGGUGGUUUAAGUCCGUUGUGAAAGCCCUGGGCUCAACCUGGGAAUUGCAGUGGAUACUGGGUCACUAGAGUGUGGUAGAGGAUAGUGGAAUUUCCGGUGUAGCAGUGAAAUGCGUAGAGAUCGGAAGGAACAUCUGUGGCGAAGGCGACUAUCUGGGCCAACACUGACACUGAGGCACGAAAGCGUGGGGAGCAAACAGGAUUAGAUACCCGCGUAGUCCCUGUCUCUUAUAC
rnacentral:rRNA from 1 species